CACUGCCGAGAAAAGCCUCUAGAUAGAAAAUAGGUGCCCGUACCGCAAACCGACACAGGUAGUCAAGAUGAGAAUUCUAAGGUGAGCGAGCGAACUCUCGUUAAGGAACUCGGCAAAAUGACCCCGUAACUUCGGGAGAAGGGGUGCUCUUUAGGGUUAACGCCCAGAAGAGCCGCAGUGAAUAGGCCCAAGCGACUGUUUAUCAAAAACACAGGUCUCUGCUAAACCGUAAGGUGAUGUAUAGGGGCUGACGCCUGCCCGGUGCUGGAAGGUUAAGAGGAGUGGUUAGCUUCUGCGAAGCUACGAAUCGAAGCCCCAGUAAACGGCGGCCGUAACUAUAACGGUCCUAAGGUAGCGAAAUUCCUUGUCGGGUAAGUUCCGACCCGCACGAAAGGCGUAACGAUUUGGGCACUGUCUCAACGAGAGACUCGGUGAAAUCAUAGUACCUGUGAAGAUGCAGGUUACCCGCGACAGGACGGAAAGACCCCGUGGAGCUUUACUGUAGCCUGAUAUUGAAAUUCGGCACAGCUUGUACAGGAUAGGUAGGAGCCUUUGAAACGUGAGCGCUAGCUUACGUGGAGGCGCUGGUGGGAUACUACCCUAGC
rnacentral:rRNA from 1 species